AGCAUGUUAGCUCAGGGGAAGAGCGCCGGGCUCAUAACCCGGAGGUACGUCUACUUUCUAUUCUUGGCAUUAAACACAGUAAACUAACAACCCGCUUAGGACCCUAGAUCGAAACUAGGACAUGCUA